AAACUCCUUCUCCGAUCGUAGCUUAGCAUCAAGCUUUGGAUUUCUCUGCAGCGGUGUGCAAGUGACACUCUGCAGUUUGGAGGGAUCCUCUGCCGGCUCUGUGGUAAUGAUCAGAUUAGAAGGUUCUGGGUUUGAUAGCAGCUCAGGGCAGUGCUCCUCAUGAUAAUAAUAAUAAUAAUAAUGAUAAUAAUAAUUGUUUUAUAUGUCUAUCAUGUACCAUAAUUCAAUGUGACUCCAGCAUCCUUUAAUAUUAUAAGAAUGCUUUUGUUUUGUUUUUCAAUAGUUAUUUUGUAAAUGUGAAUAUUAGUAAGGUUAAAUUGUACAUAUUUUCUAAAUCUAUUGUGGGAUUAACUGUGUGCCCUUCACUGUUUUCUGGUGUUGGUAGAGAUGUUGGUAGGUUGGGAGGCACCUGUGAGACGGUGUUUGUUGUCCAUCAGGCUGCUACGUGUUUGAACUUUUUCUAAAUUUAUGGUCACUCGUAAAAAAAAAAAAAAAUCCCUGCUUGACUGUUGCUCCUCAUUUCUCAUCACUCUUUAUACCUCAGUCUGCUGACUUUGAUCCUGUUUGUAAGGUUUCACCACCAUCAAAACCUUUGACUGACCUUACUGUUUGCUGUGUCACAUGUUUGACAUAUGAGUCAUAGGAGCCAUUAAGGGCAACAUACAGCUGCUGCCAGUCUGUUGAUUGAGGCUGCAAAAGGCUGAGUGUGUCCUCCUGAUAAGAUCCCGCCGCUUCUGUGUUUAGUCACCUCAAACCUUCAGGUGUCACUGACAAAGCAAAACUGCCUUUGUCUCACAAACACAAACAAACAAACAACACACACAGAAACAUCACAUACUGAGAUGCACUGAAUCCCACCUGCAGGCUACCUGUCAGUAUUUCUUCAGCAGUGCAGCUGAUGCUUUUCUUGGUAAACAUGAUGACAGCAAGGCUCGUAUAGUUGUUUGAUUUCACUACUUCCUGUUUACCCAAGACUCACGUGCAUCUCUGCUUUGAGCAUCCGAUCACUUGAUGUAACUCGGUAGGAAAGUUGUGUGUUCACGUCCCCACAGAGACAGAAGAAUCGUUCAUUUAUGUUUAAACCUCAAAAACACCUGAGUACAAUAAAUCACAUGAUGAACGUC